CGUGGGUAACCUGCCUGUAAGACUGGGAUAACUCCGGGAAACCGGGGCUAAUACCGGAUGGUUGUCUGAACCGCAUGGUUCAGACAUAAAAGGUGGCUUCGGCUACCACUUACAGAUGGACCCGCGGCGCAUUAGCUAGUUGGUGAGGUAACGGCUCACCAAGGCGACGAUGCGUAGCCGACCUGAGAGGGUGAUCGGCCACACUGGGACUGAGACACGGCCCAGACUCCUACGGGAGGCAGCAGUAGGGAAUCUUCCGCAAUGGACGAAAGUCUGACGGAGCAACGCCGCGUGAGUGAUGAAGGUUUUCGGAUCGUAAAGCUCUGUUGUUAGGGAAGAACAAGUGCCGUUCAAAUAGGGCGGCACCUUGACGGUACCUAACCAGAAAGCCACGGCUAACUACGUGCCAGCAGCCGCGGUAAUACGUAGGUGGCAAGCGUUGUCCGGAAUUAUUGGGCGUAAAGGGCUCGCAGGCGGUUUCUUAAGUCUGAUGUGAAAGCCCCCGGCUCAACCGGGGAGGGUCAUUGGAAACUGGGGAACUUGAGUGCAGAAGAGGAGAGUGGAAUUCCACGUGUAGCGGUGAAAUGCGUAGAGAUGUGGAGGAACACCAGUGGCGAAGGCGACUCUCUGGUCUGUAACUGACGCUGAGGAGCGAAAGCGUGGGGAGCGAACAGGAUUAGAUACCCUGGUAGUCCACGCCGUAAACGAUGAGUGCUAAGUGUUAGGGGGUUUCCGCCCCUUAGUGCUGCAGCUAACGCAUUAAGCACUCCGCCUGGGGAGUACGGUCGCAAGACUGAAACUCAAAGGAAUUGACGGGGGCCCGCACAAGCGGUGGAGCAUGUGGUUUAAUUCGAAGCAACGCGAAGAACCUUACCAGGUCUUGACAUCCUCUGACAAUCCUAGAGAUAGGACGUCCCCUUCGGGGGCAGAGUGACAGGUGGUGCAUGGUUGUCGUCAGCUCGUGUCGUGAGAUGUUGGGUUAAGUCCCGCAACGAGCGCAACCCUUGAUCUUAGUUGCCAGCAUUCAGUUGGGCACUCUAAGGUGACUGCCGGUGACAAACCGGAGGAAGGUGGGGAUGACGUCAAAUCAUCAUGCCCCUUAUGACCUGGGCUACACACGUGCUACAAUGGACAGAACAAAGGGCAGCGAAACCGCGAGGUUAAGCCAAUCCCACAAAUCUGUUCUCAGUUCGGAUCGCAGUCUGCAACUCGACUGCGUGAAGC
rnacentral:rRNA from 1 species